rfam:Paracoccidioides sp. &apos;lutzii&apos; Pb01 unplaced genomic scaffold supercont2.36, whole genome shotgun sequence.
GCCCACGUAGCUCAAUGGUCAGAGCGUGCGGCUUUUAUCAACCUAAACUCUAGGCGCAACCGCAAGGCUGCGAGUUCGACCCUCGCCGUGGGCU